AAAGCACAUGACUAAAGAGUUUUUUCCCUCCUUUUACCGAGUGAGCACUUCUACAACUCUAUCUGUGCAAUUUCCAGCUUAUUUCCAGCUUUUUGGUGAAGCAAGUGAAGCAAACAAGGCUCCGAACUGUCUAAGGGGGUCAUAGGGCUUGACCAAUCACAAAUCCUUGUCACGCUUCAAAACCGCACGUCACGCUUCAAAUCCUCGUCAAGCUAAAAAAACUCGGCUGCGGGCAGUCACGGCGUGGACCAAGGUCGUUGGUGUCAGCCCGUACGUGCUCGCUUGUAAAUAGUUGUUAAUACGAAAUGCUCGACGAAGCACAUACCUAGCUAAACUGAAGUAAAUAGAAGAUGCCAGAUUCUGAAUAGAAUAUUAACUUAGUAGAAGUGUGAAACCUACCGCGCAACAGAAAGUACAUAAAAAAACGGCUAAAAUUCAUUGAAUCCGCAUGUCACAGGCCCGUACCCAGGGCCGAAAGUCCACUUUUGGUUCUCAAUAGACGUGCUAUUUGUAGUUUGUAGACAAAACUCAAAAUCAUAAGCAAGAUCACUCUGGUAUGUAGCCAAAUUCGACAUUAAACGUCACGUAAAGACACUGCAAAGGCAUAAAAAAAAUCCCUUU